GCUGGAAUGGCCGAGUCGUUAAGGCGAGUGAUUUGAAUUAUCAAACUCAUCAUCACUUGGUGUUUCACCGCGUAGGUUCAAAUCCUGCUUCCAGCG